GACUUCUGGUGGCGCAAUGGUAGCGCCGAUCUGACUCCAGAUCAGAAGGCUGCGUGUUCAAAUCACGUCCGGGUCA